rnacentral:tRNA from 2 species
GGGGCUGUAGCUCAAUUGGGAGAGCGUUUGACUGGCAGUCAAAAGGUUAGGGGUUCGAGCCCCCUCAGCUCCA